GGCGGGCCGCCCCGCAUUGCAUGGUGGUGAAUCUGGUCAGGUCCGGAAGGAAGCAGCCAUAGCCAAUCUCAGCAAGUGCCGGGGGUCCGGCUCGCCACC
rnacentral:SRP_RNA from 1 species